GGGUCAGUAGGUUGGUCGUGCCACCGGUACGUACUGGUCUCACUGAUUCCUCCUUCCUGAAGAACCGUAAUGCCAUUAAUUUGGUGUUGCGGGAAAGCAGGACUGUUACUUUGAAAAAAUUAGAGUGUUUAAAGCAAGCUAACGCUUGAAUACAUUAGCAUGGAAUAAUGAAAUAGGACGAUCGAUCCUAUUUUGUUGGUUUCUAGGAUUGACGUA
rnacentral:rRNA from 1 species